AACAAACGCUGGCGGCGUGCCUAACACAUGCAAGUCGUACGAGAAAGGGUCCUUCGGGGCCUGAGUAAAGUGGCGCACGGGUGAGUAACGCGUGGAUAAUCUGCCCUUCAGUUGGGAAUAACUCAUCGAAAGGUGGGCUAAUACCGAAUAAUGCUGUAAGACCUCGGUUGAUCAGCCAAAGAGAGCCUCUGCUUGCAAGCCCUCGCUGAAGGAUGAGUCCGCGUACCAUUAGCUAGUUGGUAGGGUAAUGGCCUACCAAGGCGACGAUGGUUAGCUGGUCUGAGAGGAUGAUCAGCCAAACUGGAACUGAGACACGGUCCAGCCUCCUACGGGAGGCAGCAGUGAGGAAUCUUGCGCAAUGGGGGCAACCCUGACGCGGCAACGCCGCGUGAGUGAGGAAGGUCUUCGGAUCGUAAAGCUCUGUCGGAUGGAAAGAACCGCAUAGGGGUAAACAGCCCCUGUGUCUGACGGUACCAUCAAAGGAAGCACCGGCUAACUCCGUGCCAGCAGCCGCGUAAAAC
rnacentral:rRNA from 1 species